AAUGGGUCAGCGACUUAUAUUCUGUAGCAAGGUUAACCGAAUAGGGGAGCCGAAGGGAAACCGAGUCUUAACUGGGCGUUAAGUUGCAGGGUAUAGACCCGAAACCCGGUGAUCUAGCCAUGGGCAGGUUGAAGGUUGGGUAACACUAACUGGAGGACCGAACCGACUAAUGUUGAAAAAUUAGCGGAUGACUUGUGGCUGGGGGUGAAAGGCCAAUCAAACCGGGAGAUAGCUGGUUCUCCCCGAAAGCUAUUUAGGUAGCGCCUCGUGAAUUCAUCUCCGGGGGUAGAGCACUGUUUCGGCAAGGGGGUCAUCCCGACUUACCAACCCGAUGCAAACUGCGAAUACCGGAGAAUGUUAUCACGGGAGACACACGGCGGGUGCUAACGUCCGUCGUGAAGAGGGAAACAACCCAGACCGCCAGCUAAGGUCCCAAAGUCAUGGUUAAGUGGGAAACGAUGUGGGAAGGCCCAGACAGCCAGGAUGUUGGCUUAGAAGCAGCCAUCAUUUAAAGAAAGCGUAAUAGCUCACUGGUCGAGUCGGCCUGCGCGGAAGAUGUAACGGGGCUAAACCAUGCACCGAAGCUGCGGCAGCGACGCUUAGGCGUUGUUGGGUAGGGGAGCGUUCUGUAAGCCUGCGAAGGUGUACUGUGAGGUAUGCUGGAGGUAUCAGAAGUGCGAAUGCUGACAUAAGUAACGAUAAAGCGGGUGAAAAGCCCGCUCGCCGGAAGACCAAGGGUUCCUGUCCAACGUUAAUCGGGGCAGGGUGAGUCGACCCCUAAGGCGAGGCCGAAAGGCGUAGUCGAUGGGAAACAGGUUAAUAUUCCUGUACUUGGUGUUACUGCGAAGGGGGGACGGAGAAGGCUAUGUUGGCCGGGCGACGGUUGUCCCGGUUUAAGCGUGUAGGCUGGUUUUCCAGGCAAAUCCGGAAAAUCAAGGCUGAGGCGUGAUGACGAGGCACUACGGUGCUGAAGCAACAAAUGCCCUGCUUCCAGGAAAAGCCUCUAAGCAUCAGGUAACAUCAAAUCGUACCCCAAACCGACACAGGUGGUCAGGUAGAGAAUACCAAGGCGCUUGAGAGAACUCGGGUGAAGGAACUAGGCAAAAUGGUGCCGUAACUUCGGGAGAAGGCACGCUGAUAUGUAGGUG
rnacentral:rRNA from 1 species